AAGUGUCAUGUCAUCACAUCAUGUCAUUGACACAUCAUUGUUAUGUCAUUAAAGAUGAUGAUGUGGCUAUGAGGUGUCUAUGACAUGGCAUGAUGAUGUGACACUCUGU
rfam:Glycine max cultivar Williams 82 chromosome 16, whole genome shotgun sequence.